rnacentral:rRNA from 1 species
CACGUAGGGUGCGAGCGUUGUCCGGAAUUAUUGGGCGUAAAGAGCUCGUAGGCGGUGUGUCGCGUCGGCCGUGAAAACCUGCAGCUUAACUGUGGGCUUGCGGUCGAUACGGGCAUCACUGGAGUUCGGCAGGGGAGACUGGAAUCCCUGGUGUAGCGGUGAAAUGCGCCAGAUAUCAGGAGGAACACCGGUGGCGAAGGCGGGUCUCUGGGCCGAUACUGACGCUGAGGAGCGAAAGCGUGGGGAGCGAACAGG